rnacentral:rRNA from 1 species
GACGAACCGUGCGAACGUUGUUCGGAAUCACUGGGCUUAAAGGGCUCGUAGGCGGCCAACUAAGUCAGACGUGAAAUCCCCCGGCUUAACCAGGGAACUGCGUCUGAUACUGGAUGGCUUGAGUUUGGGAGAGGGAUGCGGAAUUCCAGGUGUAGCGGUGAAAUGCGUAGAUAUCUGGAGGAACACCGGUGGCGAAGGCGACAUCCUGGACCAACACUGACGCUGAGUGAGCGAAAGCCAGGGGAGCAAACGGGG